rnacentral:rRNA from 1 species
CCUACGGGUGGCAGCAGUGAGGAAUAUUGGUCAAUGGGCGCUAGCCUGGACCAGCCAAGUAGCGUGAAGGAUGACUGCCCUAUGGGUUGUAAACUUCUUUUAUAUGGGAAUAAAGUGCAGUAUGUAUACUGCUUUGCAUGUACCUUAUGAAUAAGGAUCGGCUAACUCCGUGCCAGCAGCCGCGGUAAUACGUAGGUGGCAAGCGUUGUCCGGAUUUACUGGGUGUAAAGGGCGUGUAGCCGGGUUGACAAGUCAGAUGUGAAAUCCUGCGGCUUAACCGCAGAACUGCAUUUGAAACUGUUGAUCUUGAGUACUGGAGAGGCAGACGGAAUUCCUAGUGUAGCGGUGAAAUGCGUAGAUAUUAGGAGGAACACCAGUGGCGAAGGCGGUCUGCUGGACAGCAACUGACGGUGAGGCGCGAAAGCGUGGGGAGCAAACAGGAUUAGAUACCCGUGUAGUC